rnacentral:rRNA from 1 species
AGAGGGUGCAAGCGUCAAUCGGAAUUACUGGGCGUAAAGCGCACGUAGGUGGGAUAAUUAAGUUGGGGUGUGAAAGACCCCGGGGCUCAACCUGGGAGUGUCAUUCAAAACUGGUUAUCUAGAGUACAGUAGAGGGAAGUGGAAUUUCCGGUGUAGCGGUGAAAUGCGUAGAUAUCGGAAGGAACAUCAGUGGCGAAGGCGACUUCCUGGACUGAUACUGACACUGAGGUGCGAAAGCGUGGGUAGCGAACAGGAUUAGAUACCCUGGUAGUCCACGCCGUAAACGAUGAGAACUAGCUGUUGGUGAUAUAAAAAUCAUUAGUGGCGCAGCUAACGCGUUAAGUUCUCCGCCUGGGGAGUACGGCCGCAAGGUUA